GCCGGCUUGGCGCAACUGGUAGCGCACCCGACUUGUAAUCGGAAGGUUGCGGGUUCAAGUCCCGCAGCCGGCACCA
rnacentral:tRNA from 4 species